rnacentral:rRNA from 1 species
GUUAUGUUCUUGAAACUUAAAGAAUUUGGCGGUAUCUCAUUCCGUCCAGAGGAAUCUGUCCCGUUAUCGAUAGUCCGCGUUGGACCUUACUUAUUUGAUUUUGGUUUGUAUACCGCCGUUUAUUGAUUAUCUUUUUAGAGGUUACUUAAUUUUCUGGUUUCUUUAUUUUGAUGUAUUUCAGGUCAAGGUGCAGCUUGUUUUUAAGUGGAAUGAUGGAUUACAUUGUUAUUUGUUUAUGGAUUGUUGAUUUUAAUAUUGGCAUGAAAUUGGAUUUGGUUGUAAUAAUUUGUAGAUUGUUAUUAUGAUAAUUGGUUCUGAGAUAUGCACACAUCGCCCGUCGCU